rnacentral:lncRNA from 1 species
AGUGUCUCUCACACUCUGCUUACCUGCAAGGAUGGAGCUAGGGUCUGUUCAUGGGACCUAUAAUUUGUUUCACUAUUUUUUAUUUUUAAAAAAUAAAGUAAAAGUUAGUAGAAAAUCUCGUAUGGGUAGAAGGAAAAAAAGAAAAAUUAAAAAAUCCGAAAAGUUUAAGAAAUUUUAGAGAGAUGAUUUGGAAGCUAGAGUUUCAUGCAUUUAAAUGAUAGGCGACAUGCAUUUUUCUCUUUAUUUAUAUACUAUCUCUUAGAGUUUGGUGACCCGAAUUUUAUUUAGUCACACCUAAAAAGCUUGUGAUGCGACAUAUGUAGUGAAGUUAUAAUUAUAGAACCAUCGAUCUCGUUGGAGGUGUGGGGGCUUUGCCCUCGUAAUUCGGACCAUUGUUAAUAUAUGUACAUGUAAUGAUAUAUAGUUUUAGGGUUACGAUGAUUAUGUUUCCGCUAUAGCUGUUUACAAUUCUCCUCUCUUGUAUUAAUAUUUUGAUAUAGGGAAGUCUAUGAUUUUUUUUCAUCUAGGAUUUUUCAUAUAAAUCUAUGUUUUUUUAUUCUUUAGUUUAUUUUAUUGCAUAUUCUCAUUAUUGUGUAACAAGUUAGUAAAUAUAAAAAUAUGAGAAAAUAAGAAAAAAAAAAAAAAAGAAAGAAAGAAAAGAAAAUGGGAUAAUCAGCCUCAAGAGUAGUUUAAAAGAUUGAAUUUUUAGAACAAAAUUUUAAAAAUGAAAAAAAAUCUAAUAAUAUGUUUAAAAAUAUUUGUGUCAUAUCAUCAUGAAUAUUCAAAACCCGAAAAUCCAAAAAAAGAAAAAAACUAAUAAUAUUUGGUUGGAUGCAGAAGAGAUGGUGGUGCCAAGUGAGGCAAGAGUCUGUGAGUCACAAAGCCAUAAGUUCGAGGGUGCAUGCAUGGGAGACCACAACUGUGCUCUGGUCUGCAGGAAUGAAGGCUUCUCCGGCGGCAAGUGCAAAGGCUUGCGCCGCCGAUGCUUCUGCACCAAGCUCUGUUAAAAUCCCACCUUUCUUCUGCUGUUUGUAGCUAAGAGUUCAAGCAAUAAACAAAGAACUGAGCCCAUAGGCUUGCUGGUUGCCUCGGUUCUUGGUUGAGUGGGUUUUAUUUCAGGGUUUACUGUUUGGCUUUUGUGAGUACAUCUCAUGAAUAAAGAGUCUGUCCAUGUCCACCCUCUUGGGAGGGCAAGUAGGGUUUAAUACCCGAGCCAUGUACAAGUUUGAACUUAAUUUCUUUUGGUAUUUUAGUUCUAUUUUGCUUUA